CGUAAGGCGCCGAAUGAGUCAUUAAAAAAUUAACAUCAUCCGAUCCCUAGUCGGCAUAGUUUAUGGUUAAGACUACGACGGUAUCUGAUCGUCUUCGAUCCCCUAACUUUCGUUCUUGAUUAAUGAAAACAUCCUUGGCAAAUGCUUUUCGCAGUAGUUAGUCUUCAAUAAAUCCAAGAAUUUCACCUCUGACAAUUGAAUACUAAUGCCCCCAACUAUCCCUAUUAAUCAUUACGUCAAACCUAGAAACCAACAAAAUAGGAUCGAACGUCCUAUUUCAUUAUUCCAUGCUAAUGUAUUCAAGCGUUAGCUUG
rnacentral:rRNA from 1 species